CGGUCGUUGGUGAAGUUCGAGAUGUUCGUGUCGCCGCCGGUGGUGCGGUAGUUGCCGCCCGCAACGACCUGCACGGUGCCGAGGCCGCCGCGUCCGU
rnacentral:tRNA from 2 species